GAUGAACGCUGGCGGCGUGCCUAAUACAUGCAAGUCGAACGCAUAGCGAAAGGUGCUUGCACCUUUCAAGUGAGUGGCGAACGGGUGAGUAACACGUGGACAACCUGCCUCAAGGCUGGGGAUAACAUUUGGAAACAGAUGCUAAUACCGAAUAAAACUUAGCGUCGCAUGACACAAAGUUAAAAGGCGCUUCGGCGUCACCUAGAGAUGGAUCCGCGGUGCAUUAGUUAGUUGGUGGGGUAAAGGCCUACCAAGACAAUGAUGCAUAGCCGAGUUGAGAGACUGAUCGGCCACAUUGGGACUGAGACACGGCCCAAACUCCUACGGGAGGCUGCAGUAGGGAAUCUUCCACAAUGGGCGAAAGCCUGAUGGAGCAACGCCGCGUGUGUGAUGAAGGCUUUCGGGUCGUAAAGCACUGUUGUAUGGGAAGAACAGCUAGAAUAGGAAAUGAUUUUAGUUUGACGGUACCAUACCAGAAAGGGACGGCUAAAUACGUG
rnacentral:rRNA from 1 species